rnacentral:rRNA from 1 species
CCUACGGGAGGCUGCAGUGGGGAAUAUUGGACAAUGGGGGGAACCCUGAUCCAGCCAUGCCGCGUGUGUGAAGAAGGCCCUCGGGUUGUAAAGCACUUUCAGUGAGGAAGAACGCCUGGUGGUUAAUACCCAUCAGGAAAGACAUCACUCACAGAAGAAGCACCGGCUAACUCCGUGCCAGCAGCCGCGGUAAUACGGAGGGUGCGAGCGUUAAUCGGAAUUACUGGGCGUAAAGCGCGCGUAGGUGGCUUGAUAAGCCGGUUGUGAAAGCCCCGGGCUCAACCUGGGAACGGCAUCCGGAACUGUCAAGCUAGAGUGCAGGAGAGGAAGGUAGAAUUCCCGGUGUAGCGGUGAAAUGCGUAGAGAUCGGGAGGAAUACCAGUGGCGAAGGCGGCCUUCUGGACUGACACUGACACUGAGGUGCAAAAGCGUGGGUAGCAAACAGGAUUAGAUACCCUAGUAGUC